rnacentral:lncRNA from 1 species
CAGGGGCGUGUCCAGGAUAUUUGAAAGGGGGGCGUAGAAUAAAAUAUUUCGCCGAGCGAAGCGAGGCGAAAAUUUGUUUGGACCUUUUUUGGCUUAAAAACAUAAAAUAAUAGAGAAUUGCACUAAUGUAACGGUUCCUGACUUGGAGCAUGUAUAUUUUAUAGUUAAAGUGUCAGGGUGUGACAUUUUUUAUGCCGAGUUUUCUUCAUUAAUUGUCUAUGGUAUAUUAAAAUGAUUGGAUGGAUCUUAACAGCAG